rnacentral:rRNA from 1 species
AGUUUGAUCCUGGCUCAGGAUGAACGCUGGCGGCGUGCCUAAUACAUGCAAGUCGAGCGGUAAGGCCCUUCGGGGUACACGAGCGGCGGACGGCUGAGUAACACGUAGGAACGUACCCCAAAGUGAGGGAUAAGCACCAGAAAUGGUGUCUAAUACCGCAUGUGCUCUAAGGAGUAAAGCUCCGGCGCUUUGGGAACGGCCUGCGCAUGAUUAGCUAGAUGGUGAGGUAAUGGCUCACCAUGGCGACGAUCAUUAGCUGGUCUGAGAGGAUGAUCAGCCAGACUGGGACUGAGACACGGCCCAGACUCCUACGGGAGGCAGCAGUAGGGAAUUUUCCACAAUGGGCGAAAUCCUGAUGGAGCAACGCCGCGUGCAGGAUGAAUGCCUUCGGGUUGUAAACUGCUUUUAUAUGUGACGAAUAUGACGGUAGCAUAUGAAUAAGGAUCGGCUAACUCCGUGCCAGCAGCCGCGGUCAUACGGAGGAUCCAAGCGUUAUCCGGAAUUACUGGGCGUAAAGAGUUGCGUAGGCGGCAUAGUAAGCAGAUAGUGAAAGCGUGUGGCUCAACCAUACUCACAUUAUCUGAACUGCUAAGCUAGAGGACGAGAGAGGUCACUGGAAUUCCUAGUGUAGGAGUGAAAUCCGUAGAUAUUAGGAGGAACACCAAUGGCGUAGGCAGGUGACUGGCUCGUUCCUGACGCUCAGGCACGAAAGCGUGGGGAGCAAACGGGAUUAGAUACCCCGGUAGUCCACGCCGUAAACGAUGGAUGCUAGCUGUUAGAGGUAUCGACCCCUCUAGUAGCGAAGCUAACGCGUUAAGCAUCCCGCCUG